GACGAACCGUGCGAACGUUGUUCGGAAUCACUGGGCUUAAAGGGCGCGUAGGCGGGCGAUCAAGUCAGGGGUGAAAUCCUCCAGCUUAACUGGAGAACAGCCUUUGAUACUGGUUGUCUCGAGGGGGGUAGGGGCAUGUGGAACUUCCGGUGGAGCGGUGAAAUGCGUAGAUAUCGGAAGGAACGCCGGUGGCGAAAGCGACGUGCUGGACCCUUUCUGACGCUGAGGCGCGAAAGCCAGGGGAGCAAACGGG
rnacentral:rRNA from 1 species